ACUCAUCACCGUUAAACGGUUAAUUAACACCGUUUCAGAAGAAUAAUGCCGGCGUCUUAGGAGGAGCGAAAUGAAUACGUUGAUUUCGUUCUCACCAUAGGAGGUAAACACAGAGACCGAUCAACAUUAGUAUAAGAGAAACAUUCUUGUUCCUCGAAGAAGUUUGUAACCGAUUAAGACAUCUCAUAAACUGGUUAGGAGGAUGAAAGUUGGCUCUAGAGGUGAAGUAUCUCUAAACCGCUGAACUAAAUUCCACUCAAAAAUCAAAUGGUCUCUUGAUACAUUAUGCAUAAUGCAUAUGAUACAGUUGGCAAGAACAUUAUGACCCCAAGUCCUCAAUAUCUCGAUUGUGUGUAGUGUAUUCUAAGUAGUUACCAAAAAUAAAGGCAUGCUUGGGAAUGCCACCCGCGAACCACACCGAUUCAGGACAAUGGUUGUUGUGGCAUGAAAGGGUGCAUGAUGAAUCGGCUUCCAAAAAUAUGAGUCGUCAUGCUGGUUUUUAAUUAAGUCCUCAGCAGUUGGUAAUGUGCUCCUAAGCAAGCUUUUUAUAAGAUUCUUGCUUCUAAUAUAUACAUAUUACAUAUAUAUAUAAUUCAUGUUUGACUAGGUUAAAAUUCACAUUUUCAAGUUUUCAAAAUUUAGCAUCUUUUUAAAUUCCUUUAAAAUCUUAACUUUAGAUUUGGAUGAGUUUUUC
rnacentral:lncRNA from 1 species